rnacentral:lncRNA from 1 species
CUGGGACUGAUGUCUCAUACUAGAUUUAAUAUUAAUCAACUUAAUUAUUUCUCAAGUUUGCAGGUAUAAAGGGCAAUGAACAGGCUGAAAAAUGUUUCUGGAGUUAAGCUGGUGACACUGACAGCUCAAGAAUGCACAGUAAACAAGGGAAAUACGUAGUGAAUAUUGAACACCCUGAAAAUCAGCCACCAUUCCUGAAUCCAACCAUCUACAGAACUCACAACUCAGCAUAUCAGUUUUCUACAUCAACGGCUGCAACUGGUGAUACUGGUACCAAUUUAACUGAUGUCUGCACCAACACAGGGUCCCUUGGACACUCCGAAUUUCCAAACAGAGAAUUCCUACAUGGUCAGAUAUAAAGGGCAUUGAACAAAUGGGAAAAUUAUUCUUGGUGGUAAAUUUGUGAUAUUGACAUCUCAAGAAUGGACAGAAAGUAUGGAAAAUACAUAUUGAAUGUGGAACACUCUGACAACCCGCUGGUGAGUACUGGUGCUCCAUUUUAAUAUUUUUUUUUAUCUCGCAGUUUCAUUGUCAGCAUUUGAACCCUAUCUAGUAUGCUUACUAUUAUGGAGUCAAGAUCAUAAUUUUACAUUCUCCCAAAGCAAGAGUAUUCCUGUAGCUUUUUUGCUUCAAAUUUCAUUAUAUAUUUUGCUAUAAUAUAGACACUAUGAACCAUUUUUAUAGGUGUAAAUAUUAGGAAUGUUUCUAUGUGUAUACAUACAAAUCACCAUCAUAGCAAAUAAAACUACAAGGGUGUCCUUGGUUUAUUUAUUA